CCACCCAUUGUGAAACCACCCAUUGUGAAACCACCGAUCGUGAAACCACCUAUUGUGAAACCACCCAUUGUGAAACCACCCAUUGUGAAACCACCUAUUGUGAAACCACCCAUUGUGAAACCACCCAUUGUAAAACCACCAAUUGUGAAACCACCCAUUGUAAAACCACCAAUUGUGAAACCACCCAUUGUAAAACCACCAAUUGUGAAACCACCCAUCGUGAAACCACCAAUUGUGAACCCACCGAUUGUGAAACCACCACCACAUGUUCCACUACCUCCAACUGUACCACCAACACCAACACCACCAGUGAUAACUCCACCAACACCAACACCACCUAUUGUGACACCACCAACACCAACACCACCAGUGAUUACACCACCAACACCACCAGUGGUUACUCCACCAACACCAACACCACCAGUGGUAACUCCACCAAUACCAACACCACCAGUGGCAACUCCACCAACACCAACACCACCAGUGGUUACUCCACCAACACCAACACCUGUACCAUGUCCGCCACCAGCACCAGCACCAGCACCACCACCAGAACAACAAAGUUGUCCAAUAGAUGUAUUGAAGUUGGGUGCAUGUGUUGAUGUGCUUGGUGGUCUAAUACAUAUUGGAAUAGGUGGUAGUAGUGCUAAACAAACAUGUUGUCCAUUGCUUCAAGGACUUGUGGAUUUGGAUGCUGCUCUUUG
rnacentral:lncRNA from 1 species